rnacentral:rRNA from 1 species
GACGAACCGAGCGAACGUUAUUCGGAAUCACUGGGCUUAAAGGGCGCGUAGGCGGGCCGUCAAGUCAGGGGUGAAAGCCCCCAGCUCAACUGGGGAAGUGCCUCUGAUACUGGUGGCCUCGAGGGAGGUAGGGGCGUGCGGAACUUCCGGUGGAGCGGUGAAAUGCGUAGAUAUCGGAAGGAACACCGGUGGCGAAAGCGGCGCGCUGGACCUCUUCUGACGCUGAGGCGCGAAAGCCAGGGGAGCGAACGGG